CGGGAUGUGGCGCAGCUUGGUAGCGCACCUGCUUUGGGAGCAGGGGGCCGCAGGUUCGAAUCCUGUCAUCCCGACC
rnacentral:tRNA from 1 species